rnacentral:tRNA from 1 species
CGCUCAAUUGGGAGAGCGCUACGCUGGCAGUGUAGAGGUCAGGGGUUCGAUCCCCCUACGCUCCA